rnacentral:rRNA from 1 species
UACGGAGGGUGCAAGCGUUAUCCGGAUUCACUGGGUUUAAAGGGUGCGUAGGUGGGCAGGUAAGUCAGUGGUGAAAUCUCCAAGCUUAACUUGGAAACUGCCGUUGAUACUAUCUGUCUUGAAUAUAGUGGAGGUGAGUGGAAUAUGUCAUGUAGCGGUGAAAUGCUUAGAUAUGACAUAGAACAUCGAUUGCGAAGGCAGCUCGCUACGCUAUUAUUGACACUGAGGCACGAAAGCGUGGGGAUCAAACAGG